UACGUAGGGUGCAAGCGUUAUCCGGAAUUACUGGGUUUAAAGGGUGCGUAGGCGGCUAAGUAAGUCAGGAGUGAAAGUUUGCGGCUCAACCGUAAAAUUGCUUUUGAUACUGCAUAGCUAGAAUUAGGAUGAGGUCAGCGGAAUGUGGCAUGUAGCGGUGAAAUGCAUAGAUAUGCCAUAGAACACCAAUUGCGAAGGCAGCUGGCUAGACCUGGAUUGACGCUGAGGCACGAAAGCGUGGGGAGCGAACAGG
rnacentral:rRNA from 1 species